CGGCGGACGGGUGAGUAACGUGUGGGUAACCGUGCCUCAUACAGGGGGAUAACAGUUGGAAACGGCUGCUAAUACCGCAUAAGCGCACAGUACCGCAUGGUACGGUGUGAAAAACUCCGGUGGUAUGAGAUGGACCCGCGUCUGAUUAGGUAGUUGGUGGGGUAACGGCCUACCAAGCCGACGAUCAGUAGCCGACCUGAGAGGGUGACCGGCUACAUUGGGACUGAGACACGGCCCAA
rnacentral:rRNA from 1 species